ACAGCCCCGUAACCAUUGGAGAUGUUGAAGAAGAGGACGCAGACGAGUUGAGGGAAAGUAAUGACGUAGGCUGCUUCACAACCGAGGAACCAGAACACUAGGAUGCUGUUUUUAAAGCUGACAGAUGCUGCAGAGAGCAAAGCAGAGUCAGCUGAUGACAUCACAGCAGCUGCCACGCAUCCAAUGCCAAUAAUGGAGAUGAAUGAUGGUGUGAGGUGUUGCAGGACAAAGGGAAGAACAAGAGCUGACUCCCCACGUUCAUAUGGAGAUGGAGAUCCGUAGGUAGUCAAGUUCCAGUCUUGAGAUACGGAGGCAUAAGAAGGAGACUUGGUAUUUGAGGGAAAAUACUUUUAUGGCAAGUGAUUAAAUGUAAGGAACCAAAGUCUUUAUGUGUGUGGUGUGGUGAAACUAAUUUGUAACAGCAGUGUAAGGGAUAAUGUAUGGUUAGCUGGUGGUUAUGGGAGAAAGAAUCCUGACAGUGAUUUCACGGCAGUUUGCGUUUCAUGGUGAUUUAUUCUUAUCUGCCUGUUGGGGUCGAUUAAACAUUAAACUGUCUUCACUCAGCUCUCCUUCUUCCCUGAGCUCUGCUCUGAGCUCUCUUUUCCCCGGAUUGAUUUUACAUGACGUGUGAUCAGUUUGCCUCAUGCGUUGCUCAUGUUAGUAAAAGUUAAUAACUGUCGUAAAA